UCCGACGGUGAGGGGUGAAGGCUGGGGGCGCAAACCGGAUUAGAUACCCGGGUAGUCCCAGCAGUAAACGAUGCCAGCUGUGUGUUGCUGGAACCAUGGGUUCCAGCAGUGCCGAAGGGAAGCCGUGAAGCUGGCCACCUGGGAAGUACGGUCGCAAGGCUGAAACUUAAAGGAAUUGGCGGGGGAGUACCACAACCGGUGGAGCCUGCGGUUUAAUUGGAUACAACGCCGGGAAUCUUACCGGAGGGGACAGCAGUAUGAAGGCCAGGCUAAAGACCUUGCCAGAUCAGCUGAGAGGAGGUGCAUGGCCGUCGCCAGUUCGUACCGUGAGGCAUCCUGUUUAGUCAGGCAACGAUCGAGACCCGCAGUCUUAUUUGCCAGCAUGCCCUUUGGGGUGUAUGGGUACAAUAAGACGACCGCCAGCGCUAAGCUGGAGGAAGGAGCGGGCUACGGUAGGUCAGCAUGCCCCGAAUCCUCCGGGAUACACGCGGGCUACAAUGGUCAGGACAAAAGGUACCGACCUCGAAAGAGUGAGGUAAUCCACAAACCUGAUCUCAGUCCGGAUCGAAGGCUGCAACUCGCCUUCGUGAAGAUGGAAUCGGUAGUAAUCGUGACUCAAAAUGUCACGGUGAAUAUGUCCCUGCUCCUUGCACACAC
rnacentral:rRNA from 1 species